rnacentral:rRNA from 1 species
CCUACGGGGGGCUGCAGUGGGGAAUAUUGGACAAUGGGCGAAAGCCUGAUCCAGCCAUGCCGCGUGUGUGAAGAAGGCCUUCGGGUUGUAAAGCACUUUCAGUGGGGAAGAAAGCCUUGGGGCUAAUACCCUCGAGGAAGGACAUCACCCACAGAAGAAGCACCGGCUAACUCCGUGCCAGCAGCCGCGGUAAUACGGAGGGUGCGAGCGUUAAUCGGAAUUACUGGGCGUAAGGCGCGCGUAGGCGGUCUGAUAAGCCGGUUGUGAAAGCCCCGGGCUCAACCUGGGAACGGCAUCCGGAACUGUCAGGCUAGAGUGCAGGAGAGGAAGGUAGAAUUCCCGGUGUAGCGGUGAAAUGCGUAGAGAUCGGGAGGAAUACCAGUGGCGAAGGCGGCCUUCUGGACUGACACUGACGCUGAGGUGCGAAAGCGUGGGUAGCAAACAGGAUUAGAUACCCUGGUAGUC